rnacentral:RNase_P_RNA from 1 species
CCAGGGGGCCGGGCAGCCGCGUGACCGCAAGGUCCCGAGGAAAGUCCGGGCUCCACGAAACAAGGGUGGCGGGUAACGCCCGCCGGGCGACCUGCUUGCAGGGAAGCUCAGGGAAAGUGCCACAGAGAGCAGACCGCCCCAUUCCAUGGGGUAAGGGUGAAAGGGUGCGGUAAGAGCGCACCGCGCGACUGGUAACAGGAGCGGCACGGCAAACCCCACCCGGAGCAAGACCGAAUAGGGGCGGCGCGUCGGUUCUUCGGAACCGGUAGAUGUGUUUCGCAUCGACCGCCCGGGUUGGUUGCUUGAGCCACGCAGCAAUGCAUGGCCUAGAUGAAUGGCUGCCACCGCCGAUACGGUGCGAUUUUCGCAUACCGUCGGCGGGACAGAACCCGGCUUACAGGCCCCCUGGCAUA